rnacentral:lncRNA from 1 species
UAUGGCACACAAUGACCUAUGCUUGAUAAACAUUGUCAUCCUUGGUAACAACGUAUCAUUUGGUCACGAACAGAUUUAAGGACUAAACGACAAAUCCUCCUUUGUCGUGUCUAAAUAGUCCUAAGGACUUCGCCACAACAUCGGAGUUCAUUAGAAGAUGAAAUAUUUUGUGAUGAAAAAUACCAAAAUAUUUUUUAUUAAUUCAUAAUUCAUGUACAAAUACAAAAAUGAGCACAACCAUCAACAGACUGACGAUUAGCUUUGGGAUACUAUUCCCAAUAGGUUCAGUAGGUCAGAGGCCUCACCGAAGCAUUGCAGACCAUGCAGUAGCAGCAGCAACAGCCGCAGGCAUCA